AAUAUAAAUGUAUCCAUAAAACUGUUUCAGCAAAUAUUAAAUCUGUUAAUUGGUAUCACCAGAGCUUGUCCUUAAAUUUGCCUUCGAUUUUGCGUCAAUGCGAGGUAGCUAUGGGAAAAUUAGUUAGUCCAAUGCCCAAAAUCUGUCAAAUGGUGGAGUCUAUUAUUGACAGGAUAACUGGAUCCAACUGAUACGACUCCCAAUUUUUACCACGAUGACCAGGAUUAAUCGACAAUGCUUCGUUUCUACCCGAGCUUUAAUAUUUUUCCUUAGUAUCCUUACAAUCUAUUGAGAAAAACUUUUUUUUUUCAACUCGUAACGACUGUGCUGCAAUCCAAAACAUUGGGCACUACAUAGAAUGGGAACUCGGCCGAUUCAUCUACAUCUGCAAAAGCAAAACAUAUUCAACAGAAGUCAAUUGCUCUGAAGUGUCGCGGUUUUUUCGAUAAAAAUAUUCCAAGAUCUAUAUAUAACGUUGUUAUAAUAGCUUCAAUCUUCGUUAUUGUUGUCAUUGGCAGCUUUCGAGAUGAUUGUUUCCAGAAGUUAUUUCGUUGCAAAACGCAUCUUCUUUACAACUGCAAAAGUGAUUGAAUCUGCUUAGUGGUAUUACCAGUUCUUAUCCCUUCACAAAGGUUUGAUAUGGCCUGAUAGAUGGGCAUAAUAUCAAUAAGGUUUUUCCUUAAUAUUCAUAAAUUCUAUCAAAAAACACUAUUUAAUGACUUGAAUCAAAUGUCUGGAUCCAACGGAAUCGUUUCCGCCUCUUUUAAAUUGUUCCAGAACGCGUAGGCUUCAUCGAUAAGAAUUCGUUGCAGUACGAGCUUAAAUAUGGCUAAUUUUUCCGUAAUAUCCUUAGAUAUUCUUUUUAACUGCAAAAGUGAUUGAAUCUGCC